CAGGAAUGAAGGACUCACCCUCAGCAGCUGGGAGUGCUGCUGGCAGACGGCCCUCAGCUGUGACCCUCUUUGGGGAUGGCAAUGGCUAAGGAGAGCCACUGUGCCCAAAGUUGUGCCCUUUCCUGUGGUGGCCAAUAUCUAAUGACUGACUGAGGACCUCUCACAGCUUUUAGCAAGCCUAUUUUUGCAUUGUGAAUCUCCAAGAGGGGAUGCCGUAUACAGCCCUUCCAAAAAGCAUUUGACCACAGAGCACUCCUUCAUUAGAUUAAACAAAUCCCACCCAAGACAGUGGGGAGAGUUAUACCUGGUGACUGUGCUCAUGCAUCCCUCUGCAAGAAUCAGCAGACAAAAAUAUCGGGGCAUUUUCACAGUAUAUGUCAAGGAGUCAUUCACACUGGAGGAAGCCAACUGAUGUGUUGUGAGGACACUCAGGUGUCCUUAGGGAGAGGUCCGUAUGGUGAGGAACUGAUCCUCCCUCCGAUAGCCAUGCGAAGGAGCCAUCCUGGCAGCAGAGCAUCCAGCCCCAGUCAAGCCUUCAGAUGACUUCAGCCCCAGCAAAAUCUUGACUGCAACUUCAUGAGAGACCCUGAACCAGAACCACUCAUCUAAGCUGCUUCCACAUUUCCGACCCCCCAGAAUCUGUAAGAUAAUAAAUGUUUGUUGUUUUAUGACACUAAGUUUUGAGUUAAUCUAUCACACAGCAA
rnacentral:lncRNA from 1 species